rnacentral:rRNA from 1 species
UUAAGAUACUAAGGGCAAUUGGUGGAUGCCUUGGCGUCAGGAGGCGAUGAAGGACGUGGUAGGCUGCGAUAAGCCUCGGGGAGCCGUCAAGCAGGCUAUGAUCCGGGGAUUUCCGAAUGGGGAAACCCACCUGGAGUAAUGUCCAGGUAUCCUUAGGCUGAAUCCAUAGGCUUAAGGAGGCGAACCCGGGGAAGUGAAACAUCUCAGUACCCGGAGGAGAAGAAAUCAAAAGAGAUUCCCAGAGUAGCGGCGAGCGAAAUGGGAAGAGCCCAAACCAGGUGCUUUCGAGCAUCUGGGGUUGUAGGGCCUCCAUGAAGCGAUCCAUGAGUAGAUAGCAGAAGUACCUGGGAAGGUACCCCAUAGAGGGUGAAAGGCCCGUAUGCGAAAUCGAAAGUGGCGCAGGAGGUACCUGAGUACCGCGGGACACGUGAAAUCCCGUGGGAAUCUGGGAGGACCAUCUUCCAAGGCUAAAUACUACCUGACGACCGAUAGCGCACUAGUACCGUGAGGGAAAGGUGAAAAGAACCCCUGUUAGGGGAGUGAAAUAGAACCUGAAACCAAUUGCCUACAAGCAGUUCGAGCCGAGCACCUCACUAAACGUGUUAGCAGGAGAUGCAAGAUGUAUUAUGUGUAUGUGAUAAGAUCAGAUAUCUCGACUUUUUGAGUUGAAAAAAAUGUUCAAUAUUUUCACGCGAUUAUAGACCUGACCUGUCAGAGUAUCCAGUUUUCGGGAAACGAUCAACGUUGGCAUAAAUCGCCAAAAAUUGUCUAAAUCAACCUAGUUUUGGUCAUUUGAACAUUAGAAAAUUCGAAUUUGUUUCGGAUUUCGAUAUUCGAAUUUCGGAUUUCUUAACAUUCGGAACUCCGAAAGUUGAGUCAGAUAUUAAAGGAGCAUGAGCUAGCAAGUUUAGUGAGGUGCUCGGUGAGAGCGUGCCUUUUGCAUAAUGGGCCAGCGAGUUAAUCUGCAGUGCGAGGUUAAGCUGAAAAGCGGAGCCGUAGCGAAAGCGAGUCUGAAAAGGGCGAAUUAGUACUGCGGAUUAGACCCGAAGCCGAGUGAUCUAUCCAUGGGCAGGGUGAAGCCCCGGUAACACGGGGUGGAGGCCCGAACCAGUGAAGGUUGAAAACUUCUUGGAUGACCUGUGGAUAGGGGUGAAAGGCCAAUCAAACUCGGUGAUAGCUGGUUCUCCCCGAAAUAUAUUGAGGUAUAGCCUCGGGUGUUUACUUGCGGAGGUAGAGCACUGAAAGGGCUAGGGGCCCCACCAGGUUACCAAACCCUAUCAAACUCCGAAUGCCGUAAGUAUAAGCCCGGGAGUCAGACUAUGGGUGAGAAGGUCCAUGGUCGAGAGGGAAACAGCCCAGACCGUCGGCUAAGGUCCCCAAAUCCAUGCUAAGUGGGAAAGGAGGUGGAACCGCCCAGACAGCCAGGAGGUUGGCUUAGAAGCAGCCAUCCUUUAAAGAAAGCGUAAUAGCUCACUGGUCUAGUGGUUCUGCGCCGAAGAUGUAACGGGGCUAAGCAUGGUACCGAAGCCACGGCCGAGCACCUAAAGUGUUAGGUGCUCGGGGUAGGGGAGCGUUCUCCUAAGGGAUGAAGGUAUGCCGUGAGGUAUGCUGGACUAAGGAGAAGUGAUAAUGCUGGCAUGAGUAACGAUAAAACGGGUGAGAAACCCGUUCGCCGUAAACCCAAGGUUUCCUGGGUAAAGCUAAUCUGCCCAGGGUUAGUCGGCCCCUAAGGCGAGGCCGAAAGGCGUAGCUGAUGGGAAACAGGUUAAUAUUCCUGUACCUGCUGGGUAGUCGUUUGAGCGAAGGGGGGACGCAGAAGGGUAGGUCAGCCACCUGUUGGAAUAGGUGGUUCAAGCCUGUAGGCUGGGGACUUAGGCAAAUCCGGGUCCCUGAUAAGGCUGAGAGGUGAUGACGAGUCAAUAAAGACGGAAGUGACUGAGCCCAUGCUGCCGAGAAAAGCCUCUAAGCGAGACUACCUGGUGGACCGUACCGCAAACCGACACAGGUGGGUGGGGUGAGUAACCCAAGGCGCUUGAGAGAACUCUGGCUAAGGAACUCGGCAAAAUGACCCCGUAACUUCGGGAGAAGGGGUGCUCUCUUGGGUGAAGGGAUUUAACUUCUGGAGCCUGGGAGAGCCGCAGAGAAAUGGCGGGGGCGACUGUUUACUAAAAACACAGGUCUCUGCUAAGUCGUAAGACGAAGUAUAGGGACUGACGCCUGCCCGGUGCCGGAAGGUUAAGGGGAUCAGUUAGCCUUCGGGCGAAGCUGUGAACCGAAGCCCCGGUAAACGGCGGCCGUAACUAUAACGGUCCUAAGGUAGCGAAAUUCCUUGUCGGGU